rnacentral:rRNA from 1 species
CCUACGGGUGGCUGCAGUGAGGAAUAUUGGUCAAUGGGCGCGAGCCUGAACCAGCCAAGUAGCGUGAAGGAUGACUGCCCUACGGGUUGUAAACUUUUUUUAUAAAGGAAUAAAGUGAGGCACGUGUGCCUUUUUGUAUGUCCUUUAUGAAUAAGGAUCGGCUAACUACGUGCCAGCAGCCGCGGUAAUACGGAGGAUCCGAGCGUUAUCCGGAUUUACUGGGUUUAAAGGGAGCGUAGAUGGGUUGGUAAGUCAGUUGUGAAAGUUUGCGGCUCAACCGUAAGAUUGCACUUGAUACUGGCAGCCUUGAGUACAGUUGAGGUAGGCGGAAUUCGUGGUGUAGCGGUGAAAUGCUUAGAUAUCACGAAGAACUCCGAUUGCGAAGGCAGCUUACUAAACUGCCACUGACAUUGAUGCUCGAAAGUGUGGGUAUCAAACAGGAUUAGAUACCCGUGUAGUC